UACGUAGGGGGCUAGCGUUGUCCGGAAUCAUUGGGCGUAAAGAGCGUGUAGGCGGUCCGGUAAGUCCGUUGUGAAAGUCGAGGGCUCAACCCUCGAAUGCCGGUGGAUACUGUCGGGCUUGAGUACGGGAGAGGCGAGUGGAAUUCCUGGUGUAGCGGUGAAAUGCGCAGAUAUCAGGAGGAACACCGAUUGCGAAGGCAGCUCGCUGGAACGUUACUGACGCUGAGACGCGAAAGCGUGGGGAGCAAACAGG
rnacentral:rRNA from 1 species